UAACGCGAAGAACCUUACCAAGGCUUGACAUACACCAGAACAUCGUAGAAAUACGGGACUCUUUGGACACUGGUGAACAGGUGGUGCAUGGUUGUCGUCAGCUCGUGUCGUGAGAUGUUGGGUUAAGUCCCGCAACGAGCGCAACCCUCGUUCUAUGUUGCCAGCACGUAAUGGUGGGAACUCAUGGGAUACUGCCGGGGUCAACUCGGAGGAAGGUGGGGAUGACGUCAAAUCAUCAUGCCCCUUAUGUCUUGGGCUUCACGCAUGCUACAAUGGCCGGUACAAAGGGCUGCAAUACCGUGAGGUGGAGCGAAUCCCAAAAAGCCGGUCCCAGUUCGGAUUGAGGUCUGCAACUCGACCUCAUGAAGUCGGAGUCGCUAGUAAUCGCAGAUCAGCAACGCUGCGGUGAAUACGUUCCCGGGCCUUGUACACACC
rnacentral:rRNA from 1 species